CAGGCCGCUGCCACGCCACCUCUCCCUAGGACGCCGUUGUGCCCCUGGCCGACGCCGCCUCCUACUACACCCCUCCGCCGCCGGCCAUCAUGCCUGACAGAUCGCCAGGCCGACCCCACCUUCCUCCGCCCUGGCUACCAACCCCCCACCCCCGCGAUGCCCCGUUGCUGGAUCGGUCCCCCUCUCCAUCCCCUGCUAGCCCACGACGGCCUCCCCUGCCACGAGAACCAACCCUUGGCGCCUCCUCCCAUGGCGGUCGCCCCGACCUCAUCGAUGAGGCGGGCUGACAGCGACCUCCCUCGUUCUCGUCUCCCGUCGUUGUCGCUGCGACAGAACUGUUGUUGUGGGCGCCGGCAAUGGCAGCAGCAAAAUUCGAUCGAGGCCCAUGGCUCCUCCGGCCGGGAGUUCGCAGUUCAGUUUCAAAGUGUUUUGGAUAGUUUUCGGUUCAGGGCUUCUUCUGUGUGGUUCCUUGCUUUUUCUUUGAAAUUUUUGUGUCUGAUCCAGAACUUCACCUCCGCGUUGAGUCCAGAAUUGCAGUAUAGUGCAUAGUACAAAGGAGUUUACUUUGUAAAAUAUUGUACAAAGGAGUUCACUUUUUAUUAUUUUUGGAGGAAUUUUUUUGCAAAUUUGUAAGGACAUGGUGUAUAAUUUGUUAAAAUCGAUGCAGCUCACUAAGGAAACCUUUGUGGUGCACUUUGCAAAACAAAGGUGUCCACUUGUAAAAAAAUGUA